rnacentral:tRNA from 2 species
UGUCCGAUGGUGUAAUGGUAGCACAAGGCCCUUUGGAGGCCUUUGUCAUGGUUCGAAUCCAUGUCGGACAGCCA